AGCCAGGUCCGUUGCCCUGGUGCCUGGGCGCGUAGUCCAGGCUUAAAGUGGGGAAGUCCGGUGCAAGUCCGGCGCUGUCCCGCAACGGUAACCGGCCAAGCUACGCGGUUCGCUUCGCAGGCCGGAAGCCCGAAUACCUGCCAGGGCCGCCCGCCUUGC
rnacentral:ncRNA from 1 species